GCAUAUCAAUAAGCGGAGGAAAAGAAACCAACCGGGAUUGCCUCAGUAACGGCGAGUGAAGCGGCAAGAGCUCAAAUUUGAAAUCUGGCCCCCCUGGGGGUCCGAGUUGUAAUUUGGAGAGGAUGCUUCGGGUACGGUGCCCAUCUAAGUGCCCUGGAACGGGCGGUCAUAGAGGGUGAGAAUCCCGUAUGGGAUGGGCGGCCGUGCCCGUGUGAAGCUCCUUCGACGAGUCGAGUUGUUUGGGAAUGCAGCUCUAAGCGGGUGGUAAAUUUCAUCUAAAGCUAAAUACUGGCCGGAGACCGAUAGCGCACAAGUAGAGUGAUCGAAAGAUGAAAAGCACUUUGAAAAGAGAGUUAAACAGCACGUGAAAUUGUUGAAAGGGAAGCGUUGGCCACCAGACGCGCCCGGGAGGGUUCAGCCGGCACUUGUGCCGGUGUACUCCCCCCCGGGUGGGCCAGCAUCGGUUUGGGCGGUCGCUGAAAGGCCCCGGGAAUGUAGCACCCUCCGGGGUGCCUUAUAGCCCGGGGUGUCAUGCGGCCCGCCUGGACCGAGGCCCGCGCUUCGGCGAGGAUGCUGGCGUAAUGGUGGUCAACGGCCCGUCUUGAAACACGGACC
rnacentral:rRNA from 3 species